rnacentral:tRNA from 1 species
GCGCGGUUAGCUCAGUGGUAGAGCAUUACCUUGACACGGUAGGGGUCGGAGGUUCAAACCCUCCAUCGCGCACCA